rnacentral:rRNA from 1 species
AGAGUUUGAUCAUGGCUCASAACGAACGCUGGCGGUAUGCUUAACACAUGCAGGUCGAACGAGAAAGGAGCCUUCGGGCUCUGAGUAAAGUGGCGAACGGGUGAGUAACGCGUGAGCAAGCUACCCUGGAGUAGAGGAUAACAUUUCGAAAGGAGUGCUAAUACUUUACGAUAUUAAGGUUGCACAUGUAGCCUUAAUCAAAGAAAGCCUCUUCAUGAAAGCUUUCGCUCUAGGAUGCGCUCGCGUACCAUUAGCUAGUUGGUGGGGUAAUGGCCUACCAAGGUGAGGAUGGUUAGCCGGCCUGAGAGGGUGUACGGCCACACUGGGAUUGAGAUACGGCCCAGACUCCUACGGGAGGCAGCAGUGGGGAAUAUUGCGCAAUGGGGGAAACCCUGACGCAGCAAUACCGCGUAGACGAUGAAGGCCCUUGGGUUGUAAAGUCUUGUUAGGUGGGAAGAAACGCUAUAGGGUAAAUAGUCCUAUGGUUUGACGGUACCACCAGAGAAAGCCCCGGCUAACUCCGUGCCAGCAGCCGCGGUAAUACGGAGGGGGCAAGCGUUGUUCGGAAUUACUGGGCGUAAAGGGCGUGUAGGCGGCUUGGUAAGUUAGAUGCGAAAGACCAUGGCUUAACCAUGGAAUUGUAUCUAAAACUGCCAGGCUUGAGUAUAGGAGAGGAGAGUGGAAUUCCCAGUGUAGCGGUGAAAUGCGUAGAUAUUGGGAGGAACACCGGUGGCGAAGGCGGCUCUCUGGACUAAUACUGACGCUGAGGCGCGAAAGCUAGGGGAGCGAACGGGAUUAGAUACCCCGGUAGUCCUAGCUGUAAACGAUGGACACUAGGUGUAGGAGGUAUCGACUCCUCCUGUGCCGCAGCUAACGCAUUAAGUGUCCCGCCUGGGGAGUACGUUCGCAAGAAUGAAACUCAAAUGAAUUGACGG